rnacentral:rRNA from 1 species
CCUGAUCCAGCAAUGCCGCGUGUGUGAAGAAGGCCUUCGGGUUGUAAAGCACUUUUGUCCGGAAAGAAAACGUCUUGGUUAAUACCCGAGGCGGAUGACGGUACCGGAAGAAUAAGCACCGGCUAACUACGUGCCAGCAGCCGCGGUAAUACGUAGGGUGCGAGCGUUAAUCGGAAUUACUGGGCGUAAAGCGUGCGCAGGCGGUCUGUUAAGACCGAUGUGAAAUCCCCGGGCUUAACCUGGGAACUGCAUUGGUGACUGGCAGGCUUUGAGUGUGGCAGAGGGGGGUAGAAUUCCACGUGUAGCAGUGAAAUGCGUAGAGAUGUGGAGGAAUACCGAUGGCGAAGGCAGCCUCCUGGGCCAACACUGACGCUCAUGCACGAAAGCGUGGGGAGCAAACAGGAUUAGAUACCCUGGUAGUCCACGCCCUAAACGAUGUCAACUAGUUGUUGGGGAUUCAUUUCCUUAGUAACGUAGCUAACGCGUGAAGUUGACCGCCUGGGGAGUACGGUCGCAAGAUUAAAACUCAAAGGAAUUGACGGGGACCCGCACAAGCGGUGGAUGAUGUGGAUUAAUUCGAUGCAACGCGAAAAACCUUACCUACCCUUGACAUGGUCGGAAGUCUGCUGA